AUGUUCAGUUGUGUUCCAGUGAGCCAAGCCGCGCAGACACUUCUUGUUCGCGCUAGCACACUGAAGCCCAGCCAGCUCGGCAGGUCAGCAGGCUUUAGGUCUGGCCGGAGAGGGGAUGAGCGAGAUCUGACCGUGCCCUGCCGCCCGACCGUGCCGGGCCCGCCACUCUGCCCCCCUUCUUCUCCGGCGGCGGCGGAUCUUGCGUUCUCGGUGGCGGCGGCGGAGCCCUCGUUCUUAACGGCGGCGGAGCCUUCGUCCUCAGAAAAUGAGCAAGAAGUAUCACUGUUGCGGUUUGAUGAUUGGAAAGGAGAGUAUGUGAGAAUAGAAGAUGGUGAACAGAUUGUUGAAGAAAUCGAUCGGCAAAACGGCUGGACAAGCAAACGGGCUAAUUUUUUUGCUGAGCUCGUUGAUCUGAACAUUUUUUCGAAGGUUGGAUAUGUGCCAUCACAAUUGGCUGCGCAGAUGGUAGAUGAUGAUUGGGCUACACAGAGGCCAUUGAUUCCCAUGUGUACUGAACUUACAGUAAUAGCCGAAGAGGGACAGGUGACUGGAACUGAAACUGAAACUGCAGCAACUGUUGAUUGGAAUGUAGUUGAAUUAGAUGAGCCUACUGAUUUGGUCAUUGCACCAAUGCCUGACAUUGAGAUGGCCAAACUUUUUGGCAUUCCAGUCGAUGACAGAGAUAAGCAGGAGAGGGGCGAAUCUAGUUUGCCUGCUAAUGCUGAUGAAGAAGUAGAUGGACAGUUGAUGGAACAAGCCGCAGAUGAAGUAGAUGAUGCACAUGAUGAUGAGCUGGUGCAUGUGUAUAACAAAGAAAACCCUGUCAUUGAAGUAGGCAAGUUGUUCCCAAGCAUGAAGAAGUUUAGGAUGUGUUUCAAGACUUAUGCAGUGAAACAUGAGUUUGAUGCCAAGACUGUUUGGACUGAUAGAAAGAAGUUUUAUGCGAGGUGCAGAGGAUGUGAUGGUAGUGUGAAGCCUUGCAAGUGGUACAUAUCUGCUAGACUGCAACCUGAUGGAAGUACUGUCAGGGUUAACCAAAUCCCCAAUCAAGAUACUUGUAUUACAAGUUCACAGAGAGUAUCAACCAUGACAUCACAACUUUGGGUUGCAGAAAAGAUCACCCCAAUUUUAGCCAAAACACCAAACACUACUGCCAAGAAACUCAAAACUGAAGAAACUGCUCUCGAGGUUGAAACUGAACCUGAGCGUGUCGAGGUUCAGACUGAAGAAAGCCAUGUUGAGGUACACACCGAAGAAACUGAAACUCCUGUCAACAUUGAGACCGAAGACACUGAUCACAAGGGUGUUGGCGAGGUGUUGAAAAGACGAGUGAAGAAAACCAAGAUGAUCGGUGAACUUGUGUGUGUAGUAGAACCGAAAAAGAAGAAGUGCUAA
rnacentral:rRNA from 1 species